rnacentral:rRNA from 1 species
CUCAGAUUGAACGCUAGCGGCAUGCUUAACACAUGCAAGUCGAACGGCAGCGCAAAGGAGCUUGCUCCUUGGCGGCGAGUGGCGAACGGGUGAGUAACGCGUAGGAAUCUGCCUUGUAGUGGGGGACAACUCGGGGAAACUCGAGCUAAUACCGCAUAAUCUCUACGGAGCAAAGUGGGGGAUCGUAAGACCUCACGCUAUAAGAUGAGCCUGCGUCGGAUUAGCUUGUUGGUGGGGUAAUGGCCUACCAAGGCGACGAUCCGUAGCUGGUCUGAGAGGACGACCAGCCACACUGGGACUGAGACACGGCCCAGACUCCUACGGGAGGCAGCAGU